AGAAGCCUUUCCAAGCCACUGUGAGAAAUCAGCUUUAUUUUCCUAAUGUGACUGACUCUGGAUAUUGCAACUCUGCUCCCAGAAGACACAUCAAUCAUAACAGCACUGUGAGAAAGUGCAGACAACUACAAGUGACCGCCUUUCGCAGAAGAGACUAAUUUGUGGCAUAGAAAAUAAUCACAGAGGAAUUUUUGAAAAGAUUUUAAUUUUGCCAUUCUAAUAACCACACAAAUCAUGAAAUGACACAUGUGGAGGCAACCCGGAGGCCAGGCAACUUGCCUGAUAUCACCUUUGCCAUCUGAGGAAUCUGGGAAGCAGGAUGGAAAAUAGGAGCGGAAGUGCAGAAGGGCGGAGACAAGCAUCCUUGGUGGAGGGCGCCACAGGUUGGGAGUCAUGUGAUCACAUUGCUACCUGGAAGCCUCCUUGCAGAGCUGUGAAACAUUUGCCUCUAGACUCUGUCUCCUCUCCUGGACAGGGCUGGUCCGCUGUGUUCUCCUGUUGCAACUGGGA